GACGAACGCUGGCGGCGUGCCUAAUACAUGCAAGUAGAACGCUGAAGAGAGGAGCUUGCUCUUCUUGGAUGAGUUGCGAACGGGUGAGUAACGCGUAGGUAACCUGCCUUGUAGCGGGGGAUAACUAUUGGAAACGAUAGCUAAUACCGCAUAACAAUGGAUGACACAUGUCAUUUAUUUGAAAGGGGCAAUUGCUCCACUACAAGAUGGACCUGCGUUGUAUUAGCUAGUAGGUGAGGUAAUGGCUCACCUAGGCGACGAUACAUAGCCGACCUGAGAGGGUGAUCGGCCACACUGGGACUGAGACACGGCCCAGACUCCUACGGGAGGCAGCAGUAGGGAAUCUUCGGCAAUGGGGGCAACCCUGACCGAGCAACGCCGCGUGAGUGAAGAAGGGUUUCGGAUCGUAAAGCUCUGUUGUAAGUCAAGAACGGGUGUGAGAGUGGAAAGUUCACACUGUGACGGUGGCUUACCAGAAAGGGACGGCUAACAACGUG
rnacentral:rRNA from 1 species